rnacentral:rRNA from 1 species
GACGAACGCUGGCGGCGUGCUUAACACAUGCAAGUCGAACGGAAAGGCCCUGCUUUUGUGGGGUGCUCUAGUGGCGAACUGGUGAGUAACACGUGAGUAACCUGCCCUUGCCUUUGGGAUAACUUCAUGCAACUUGGGCUCAUACCGGAUAGGAGCUCCUGCUGCAUGGUGGGGGUUGGAUAGUUUCGGCGGUUGGGGAUGGACUCGCGGCUUAUCAGCUUGUUGGUGGGGUAGUGGCUUACCAAGGCUUUGACGGGUAGCCGGCCUGAGAGGGUGACCGGCCACAUUGGGACUGAGAUACGGCACAGACUACUACGGGAGGCAGCAGUGGGGAAUAUUGCACAAUGGGAGGAAGCCUGAUGCAGCAAAGCAGCGUGCGGGAUGACGGCCUUCGGGUUGUAAACCGAUUUCGCCUGUGACGAAGCGUGAGUGACGGUAAUGGGUAAAGAAGCACCGGCUAACUACGUG